GGUAGAAUGGCUGAGUGAAUAAGCGACGGAUUGUAAUACCGCUAACACAGGUUAAAACCCUGUUUGUAUCA
rnacentral:tRNA from 1 species